GACGAACGCUGGCGGCGUGCUUAACACAUGCAAGUCGAACGGAAAGGCCCUGCUUUUGUGGGGUGCUCGAAUGGCGAACGGGUGAGUAACACGUGAGUAACCUGCCCUUGACUUUGGGAUAACUUCAGGAAACUGGGGCUAAUACCGGAUAGGAGCUCCUGCUGCAUGGUGGGGGUUGGAAAGUUUCGGCGGUUGGGGAUGGACUCGCGGCUUAUCAGCUUGUUGGUGGGGUAGUGGCUUACCAAGGCUUUGACGGGUAGCCGGCCUGAGAGGGUGACCGGCAAAUUGGGAAUGGGGAAACGGCCAGACUCCUACGGGAGGCAGCAGUGGGGAAUAUUGCACAAUGGGCGGAAGCCUGAUGCAGCAACGCCGCGUGCGGGAUGACGGCCUUCGGGUUGUAAACCGCUUUCGCCUGUGACGAAGCGUGAGUGACGGUAAUGGGUAAAGAAGCACCGGCUAACUACGUG
rnacentral:rRNA from 1 species